rnacentral:rRNA from 1 species
GAUGAACGCUGGCGGCGUGCCUAAUACAUGCAAGUCGAGCGAACAGACGAGGAGCUUGCUCCUCUGACGUUAGCGGCGGACGGGUGAGUAACACGUGGAUAACCUACCUAUAAGACUGGGAUAACUUCGGGAAACCGGAGCUAAUACCGGAUAAUAUAUUGAACCGCAUGGUUCAAUAGUGAAAGACGGUUUUGCUGUCACUUAUAGAUGGAUCCGCGCCGCAUUAGCUAGUUGGUAAGGUAACGGCUUACCAAGGCAACGAUGCGUAGCCGACCUGAGAGGGUGACGGGCCAACAGGGAAAUGGAAAACGGCCCAACACCUCAGGGGGGGCAAAAGGAGGAAACUUUCCGAAAUGGGGGAAACCGUAAGGGAACAACCCCGGGGAGGGGAGGAAGGUUUGGGGACCGUAAAACCUUUUUAUAAGGAAAAAAAAAAUGGUAAAGUAAACAAGCACGUUUGAAGGGGACCAAAGCAGAAAGCACAGGUAAAAUAAGG